AUGGUGGGCAAUUGCAGCCCGCUGGUGUCGCUGCUAGGCUGGGCUGCUGCGCUGUGGCUGGGCUGGGCAGUCGUGCAAGGGGAGGACUCAGCUGCCAAGGCCCCCCAGCACCCCAGGCCCCCCUUGGAGGCCAGGGCUUCCCACCCCCCUGAGGCCAGGAGCUCCCAGGAGCCUGGUUCCCCCCACCCCAAGGUGCUGGGCUUCUGCCUGGAAGAGGGAGCCUUGGCCAGGGGCAGCCUCAUCAGGGCCACCCCAGGGGCCACCUUCCGCCUGCGCCUUUAUGGGACUGGCCUCAGGAACCACAGCUGGCCCUGGGUGGCCUUCGUGCCACUGGGGAGCCCCUGUGCCGUCCCCGAGGGGGGUCCUUCCUCCACGCCCUCCCCUGCCGGUGCCCCUGAGUUGCUUUUGCACGACGUCCUGCCCGUUGGGGAAUAUGCGGUGCUGGUGACAGUGACGGUGGCCUCUGGGGGCGCCCAGGGCCGGUAUCACCUUUGCAGCCUGGCAGGGCACCGGUGGGCUCCGGCCGCCCCCGGGGAUGCUAUCUUGGUGACAGAAGAUGAAGGCGGGGGUGGGCGGGUGGCAGCUGUGGCCUUGCCCCCUCCCUUGGCGCCCUGGCUUCUGGGCACCCUUGUGGCCUUACUGCUCGCUUUCUUGGCCUUGCUCCGGGCUUUGCAGCUCAGCACGUUGUGGCUGGAUCCGGUGGAGCUGUACGUGUUGCGGGACUGUGGUUCGGAAUCCGAGCGAGAGGCUUCCAAAGUGCUGGAGACGGUCAGGCAACGUGGGACGUUCGUCCUUUGCUCUCUGCUGCUGCUCAGCUCUUUGGCCAACGCUGCCUUGGCAGUGCUUUUCUACAGAGCGGUGGGGAUGUUGGUGCCUGCUAUCCUAGGCGUGGCCGGUUUGGUCUUUCUUUUAGCUGAGGUGCUGCCUUUCACCAUCAGUUCGCGGUGGGGACUUCUGCUAGCCCCCCGUGGGCUCUGGCUCACCCAGCUCUUCAUGCUUCUCACCUUCCCCAUCUCGCUACCGCUGAGCAAGGUGCUGGACCUCGCUCUGCACCAUGACACCAGCACAUGCCUCCUGCGGGAGAAAAUCCUGGACAUGGUGCGUAACAGUGACCCCUACAACGAGUUUGUGCGGGAGGAGUUCAGCAAGGGUGCUCUGCGCAACAAGACAGUGGAGGAUGUGCUGACGCCGCUGGAUGAGUGUUUCAUGCUCAAUGCCUCUGCUGUGCUGGACUUCAACAACAUGUCCAUGAUCAUGCAGAGCGGUUACACCCGCAUCCCUGUCUAUGAAGAUGAGCGAACCAACCUGGUGGACAUGCUCUACGUCAAGGACUUGGCCAUGGUCGACUCUGACGACUGCACCCCUCUCAGCACCAUCAUCAAGUUCUACAACCACCCGCUUCACUUUGUCUUCAAUGACACUAAGCUGGAUGCUGUGCUGGAGGAGUUCAAGCGAGGUAAAUCACACAUGGCCAUUGUUCAGAAGGUGAACAACGAAGGUGAAGGAGACCCCUUCUAUGAAGUCAUGGGCUUGGUGACACUAGAAGAUGUGAUUGAGGAGAUCAUAAAAUCAGAGAUAAUGGAUGAGUCAGAUGACUACAGGGAUAACAAAAUGAAGAAGAAGCCUCCCCCUCUUGGGACCUUGGUGGAUUGCAGGAAAGAAGAUUUCUCCUUGUUCAAAGUGUCCGACAGUGAGUACAAGGUGAAAAUCUCCCCCCAGCUACUGCUGGCUACACAGCGCUUCUUAUCUAGAGAGGUAGACCUCUUCAGUCCAGCCCGAAUCUCUGAGAAAGUCCUCUUGCACCUGCUGAAACACCCAAGUGUCAACCAAGAGGUGAAGUUUGAUGAAAGCAACCGCCUGGCCCCUGAGCACUACCUGUACCAGCGCAACCAACCAGUCAAUUAUUUCAUCCUUAUCCUGCAGGGCAGGGUUGAAGUUGAGAUUGGAAAGGAGGGACUGAAGUUUGAAAAUGGAGCCUUCACUUAUUACGGUGUCUCUGCUCUGACAGCUCCAUCCUCAGUUCACCAGUCCCCAGUGUCUACCCUCAGAAUGAACCGUCGCGAUCAGCAGCCGGAUGGUGGUGAGAGCAGUAACUACUCCAUGUACUGUCCUGACUACACUGUCAGAGCUCUUACCGACCUGCAGUUCAUCAAGGUCACUCGGCUGCAAUAUCUCAAUGCCCUCAUGGCCUCCCGGAUACAAAACUCACCCCAGUCCCCCGAUGCCAUCGAACUGAAAAUUGUCCCCAGCAGCCAGACAAAGCUUCUGAACGACAAGAAUGCUGCAGCAGCCUUCCCGCUAAACCUCUCUCUCUUUGGCACAAUUGAGAACUGCAUUUAAUACUGGCCUCUCUGCCAGAGUCUGGAGUGGGUUUUUAUUUUCAGAAUCACAAGGAAAAAGCAGAAGCAAGCUAAACCUCCUGGAUGAGGAGAGCCUGAGCCGGAGCACUGGAGUCUGACCUGCCGGAGGCGACUGUCAGUCUGCAGGGGG